GAUGAACGCUGGCGGCGUGCCUAAUACAUGCAAGUCGAGCGAACGGACGAGAAGCUUGCUUUUCUGAUGUUAGCGGCGGACGGGUGAGUAACACGUGGAUAACCUACCUAUAAGACUGGGAUAACUUCGGGAAACCGGAGCUAAUACCGGAUAAUAUUUUGAACCGCAUGGUUCAAAAGUGAAAGACGGUCUUGCUGUCACUUAUAGAUGGAUCCGCGCUGCAUUAGCUAGUUGGUAAGGUAACGGCUUACCAAGGCAACGAUGCAUAGCCGACCUGAGAGGGUGAUCGGCCACACUGGAACUGAGACACGGUCCAGACUCCUACGGGAGGCAGCAGUAGGGAAUCUUCCACAAUGGGCGAAAGCCUGACGGAGCAACGCCGCGUGAGAGAUGAAGGUCUUCGGAUCGUAAAACUCUGUUAUUAGGGAAGAACAUAUGUGUAAGUAACUGUGCACAUCUUGACGGUACCUAAUCAGAAAGCCACGGCUAACUACGUG
rnacentral:rRNA from 1 species